rnacentral:rRNA from 1 species
UACAGAGGGUGCAAGCGUUGUUCGGAAUUAUUGGGCGUAAAGAGCUCGUAGGCGGUGUGUCGCGUCGGCCGUGAAAACCUGGGGCUCAACUCUGGGCGUGCGGUUGAUACGGGCAUCACUUGAGUUCGGCAGGGGAGACUGGAAUUCCUGGUGGUAAGCGGUGAAAUGCGCAGAUAUCAGGAGGAACACCGGUGGCGAAGGCGGUCUGCUGGGGUAAUGCUGACACUGAUGCGCGACAGCG